CACGUAGGGGCCAAGCGUUGGUCCGGAUUUAUUGGGCGUAAAGAGCUCGUAGGCGGUUGGGUAAGUCGGGUGUGAAACUCCAGACUCAACUUGGAACGCCAACCCGAUACUGCUCUGACUUGAGUUCGGUAGGGAGGUGGGGAAGUUCCUGGUGUAGCGGUGAAAUGCGCAGAUAUCAGGAGGAACACCGGUGGCGAAGGCGCCACUCUGGGCCGAAACUGACGCUGAGGAGCGAAAGCGUGGGUAGCAAACAGG
rnacentral:rRNA from 1 species